GAUGAAGAACGUAGCGAAAUGUGAUAAGUAAUGUGAAUUGCAGAAUUCAGUGAAUCAUCGAAUCUUUGAACGCACAUUGCGCCCGCUAGUACUCUGGCGGGCAUGCCUGUCCGAGCGUCAUUUCAACCCUCAAGCCCCCGGGCUUGGUGUUGGGGAUCGGCGAGCCUCCGCGCCCGCCGUCCCCUAAAUCUAGUGGCGGUCUCGCUGUAGCUUCCUCUGCGUAGUAGCACACCUCGCACUGGGAAACAGCGCGGCCACGCCGUUAAACCCCCAACUUCUGAACGUUUGACCUCGGAUCAGGUAGGAAUACCCGCUGAACUUAAGCAUAUCAAUAAGCGGAGGA
rnacentral:misc_RNA from 1 species